rnacentral:rRNA from 1 species
GAUCAUGGCUCAGAACGAACGCUGGCGGCGCGUUUAAGCAUGCAAGUCGAGCGGCAAGGGCCUUCGGGCCCCUAGAGCGGCGGACGGGUGAGUAACACGUGGACAAUCUGCCCCCCGGCCCGGGAUAGCCCAGGGAAACCUGGAUUAAUACCGGAUGAGACGGGACCCGCGAUGGCGGGAUCCGGGAAAGGCGCUGCGGCGCCGCCGGGGGAUGAGUCUGCGUCCCAUUAGCUAGACGGCGGGGUAACGGCCCACCGUGGCGACGAUGGGUAGCCGGCCUGAGAGGGUGGACGGCCACAUUGGAACUGAGACACGGUCCAGACUCCUACGGGAGGCAGCAGCUAAGAAUCUUCCGCAAUGGGCGAAAGCCUGACGGAGCCGACGCCGCGUGAACGAAGAAGGCCGUGAGGUUGUAAAGUUCUUUUCGGGAGGGGGAACAACCGUGGCAGGGAAUGGCCGCGGGAUGACGUGAAUCCCGGAAUAAGCCCCGGCUAACUACGUGCCAGCCGCCGC